UUGACCUCAAAUCAGGUAGGACUACCCGCUGAACUUAAGCAUAUCAAUAAGCGGAGGAAAAGAAACUAACAAGGAUUCCCCUAGUAACUGCGAGUGAAGAGGGAAAAGCUCAAAUUUAAAAUCUGGCAGUCAUAUGGCUGUCCGAGUUGUAAUUUAGAGAAGUGUUAUCCGCG
rnacentral:rRNA from 1 species